UCAUGAUGCCGACCAUGAAAUAUGUCAGAAAAAUAGUCAUGGAUGUCUGCGGAUUUCGAAAAUCAUGACUAUUUUGGAAUCCAAGAUGGCGACCAUGCAAUUUGUCAUAAAAGUCGUCAUGGAUGUCGUUUUAUAGGUUUUAGGGAGUGUGGAUUUCGAAAGUCAUGACUAUUUUGGAAUCCAAGAUGGCGGCCAUGCAACUUGUCAUAAAAGUUGUCAUGGAUGUCAUUUUAUAGGUUUUAGGGAAUGUGGUUUUCAAAAAUGAUGAACCUCAACCAUGUGUAUCGUAAAGAACUCGUCAUGACAUUUAAAAUGAGCUAAAACUCGAUAACAUUAUGGGAAGUCAUCGAUGAGUUCCAUUGACAACUUCCGAUUUCACUAUCAGAACUUAGUCACCAUGUGUAUCGUAAAGAACUCUUCAAGACAUUUUAAAUGAGCCCAAACUCAAUAGCAUUACUAGUAGUUAUCGAUGAGUUCCAUCAACACCUUCCGAUUCCACCAUAAGACCCUCGCCACCAUGUGUAUCGUAAAGAACUCACGAAGACCUUUAAAAUGAGCCCAAACUCGAUAGCAUUACUUGUAGUUAUCGAUGAGUUCCAUCAACACCUUCCGAUUCCACCAUCAGACCCUCGCCACCAUGUGUAUCGUAAAGAACUCGUCAAGAUAUUUAAAAUGAGCCCAAACUCGAUAGCAUUACUAGUAGUUAUCGAUGAGUU